rnacentral:ribozyme from 14 species
AAAUAAAUAAAGGAAUAGAAAGGAAGGGAAAGAAAAACGAAAAAAGAGAACAACACUGAAAAUAUAUAUGGUUACUACGUAUGUCUUGCAUCGCUUUCCCAUGCAUAUUAUUAUUUUACAUUUUGUACUACUUACUC